UCAUUUCAGAUUGUCUUCCCUUUGCUGGGGGAGAAACAGUUGGAGCUUGAUGCUUUGAAGGUUUGCCAUCCAGUCGUCUCCCGAAGCCAGUAAAUGGGGUGAAUUUUGGUUCAACUUCAGCUUCAGCUUGAGCAUCCUGAACUGAAUUUUUCAAAAUAAAUCCCAUAUCAGAAGGGAAAGGUCAAUUGAAUUUUAGCAUGAAAAAAGCAAACACCUGUUACUGUAACUUUCCGGUUAAACAUGCAAGCUGAACUACAAGAAAAUUAUAUGUUCUAGAAGAAAAAGGCACAAAAGUAACACUAGGAAAAUUGCCCGACAAGAAGGAUUCAAAUCAGCAAUUUCCAGUAUUACCAGAACAUAAGGAACAAGAAAGGCCUAUCUGAAUGCUAGAAUUCCACAUCCCUCCAGAGAGGUUGGAAUUAUCUGUUCAGAAAGGAGAUGAAGUGACGAAGUUUAAUAGGUCCGUUGAUCACCCAAUCCUGAUAUUUUUUUUCGGGAUAAUGAAAAUCAUCCCUUCAGUAGAUUCUGAUAUCCCAAAAAAAUCAGAACAUGAGUGAUCAGUGACCUCAACCUUGUAACUUCCUUUUUCUCUCUCUAACAUGGUGAUACUCAUCCGGAGUCAGAUAUUACAAGGAUGGAAAAUCCAAGCAUCCAAACAGGCCUGGAACAUCACCAUGUCAUGUGUCAAUGUGACUGAUAUGCACAGAAUGUGAAUCAUAGCUAUUACAUAGCACUGCAGCAUGCAGAAGAAAGAUUGUUCCAGAUUUGCAGAUGGAACUUACUAGUCACUGCAGACCAUAUUCUCAAGAAAAGCAAGAUCUUCAGUCAGCAAGCUAAGCAACAUGUUCUAUUCAACCACAUCAACUAAAAUAACCAAUAGCAUGAUAAUUCAAAAACAUGAAAGUAGUAAAUCAGAUCUCCAUUACGGCUGGAAAUGCCCACUGGCCAGAUCUUGUAUGUAUUUGGAUUGGGCCUUUAGGCCCUGUGUUUUCAUUACCCAAGCCCAGUAAAUUCCCAUAAACAUAAUGAGCGAGCUAAAAUAAACUUGUUUGUCAUAAAAGAUAGUUGACUAAUGCUGGUCUGAAAAAAAUGUGUCCUAUAACAAAAUGAUAAAUGCAUUACUCCACUAGAAGCAAACACAAUAAAUGCAAGAUUCAAAAUGACAAUUUCACGUGCAUCUUCAACUCGUGGAUAUAUCACAGCUUGGUUUAAAAUAUCAGUAAGUGGUGUCGCACAUAACAUAGGUGAGGAUAACUAAGGGCUGCAGGAUAAAGGGGAAUCUAUUAUAUUUAAAUUUAGUUGUCAAUUUUCUGUAUUUUCUUUUAUUUCUGGUUUAUUUUUAGUUUUCAGUGGGUUAACAUGACACAGUAGUUGAGAUUAAAAGAUCUUAGAUCUUUUGACAACUUCAUGUGUCUGAUUCUGCUGUGGAACUCUUCAUGCUGCAACAUAACAAUAGGUGGUUAGGAAUAUAUUCAAUGGCUUGCCGGCCAUUCUGUUGAAAUCUGGUUUUCCUGUAUUAACUGAACUAAGAAGGUGAACUUUCUAUAGUAAAGAGGAAUCAAAUGACUAGAAUCUGGCCUAGGGUUCAGAAUUUAGGGUUCAACUGGUGGAUUGAUAUCUUAACAAAAAUAAAUAAAAAAUUUGAAGGGACUUUUCAACAAGUGAUUUGUGUAAAAGGGGUUGAAACUAGAUGGAAGGCCAGUUGUGGAUCAAUAGACUUUAAGUUUGAGGAUUACCAGUUGAAGAAAAGAAGGAAACAAAACCAGAUGUGAAAAAGAAAAUAACAGAGAAACACUAAAUGAAAACGAAGAAAGUACCAAAGAAUAAGAGUGAGGAAAGAUAAUAGAGAAGUGACUUUAGGACCUAAGAAUCACACCUAGGGUUUGAAGAUCUCGCUUCUCCUUUGCAGAAUCACACCACAAGGGAACAAGAAGAUGCUUUGUAGAUUAUCAUUCUUUAUUAACCAGCCAUCUGGCUGAUUACAUAAAACUCUAAUACCCUAUUUAUAACAAAAAAGGUAUGCUAAGAAUUUUUCUUUUAAUCCCAAUACUAACCCUCAUGAGGAACACGUUCUUCCCUAAUUGAGCCCUUCAUAUUUUUAAGAUUCACCACCAUGUUUACCAUCAAUUCUACUUUGAAAUUCCAAUUUUCAUAGUUCACCUUUAAAUAAAACAUGUGUCAAAAUUGAACUUUCCAAUGAUUUAAACAUCAAGUGCUAUUUCAAAACCCUAGUAGUUCUCCUUCCACGGACUGUCUUACAUCAGUAUCCACAUCCACUGAUGCAACAACAACCAACUCAUACAAGCGUGCACAUACAAUAAUUACCCAGAUAGAUUAAAAUAAGCUUUGAGAUUGUCCAAGAGAGUAUGACAUGUCAACCUCCAAAAAGCAUGACUCAUUGUGCCCAUGUGGCUGUCUGUAAAUUAUGAUAGAAUCACAAGUUACCCCAAAACUCGAUAAAAUUAAGACCAUUGUAGUGAUGUUAAACUAGCAAAGUGGCAUGUGCGAUGCACAUGGGAGAAAAAAAUAUUAAUAAAAGAAAACAUGCAAAAAAAGGCAAACUACACUUAAAUAUGAAAAUAGAAAACCUAGAAAAGGAAUAAAAUGGCAAAGUACAUAAAAGAUAAGCAAGCAUAGAACUUAAUAGCGAGAAUAGCAAGUUUAAUUCUAAUUUUUUUACAUAAAUAUCCCUCUUAGUCUAUUCCUCACCUUCAGGUUGUGGCUGAUGGUCUAAUUGGUAAUAUUGCUAUAAGUGCAUUGGGUUGGAUCAAAGAUUUGCCUAAUCUUGAUGCAACCCACUUAAAUUUGGAUCCAAUAACUUAUCCGAUCCAAUUGUCUUCUAAAUUGAGAUGGGUCAAACUGGGUUGACAAUUUUAUUUAUUGGAACCAAUGGAAAAAAUAGGUUGGAUUGUGUUUAUCCAAAUCCAAACACAACCCUAUAUUCUUGGGGGUGAGGUGGGGCAGGGGCGGCUCAAUACAUUCUGGGGCCUAAGACGAAUCCAAUGAACGAGGCCACUUUUUUUAAAUAAUAAUUUUUUUAAUAAAUAUAAAAUACUUAAAAAAAUAUAUAAAAAUAGAUAGCUAUCAAGUACACUAUUUCAACAAAGAUACAUGAAUCUAACAGAGAUAGACAAGAAGCUUUUUCAAUUUAAUAUAAUUCUUGAAUGGAAGCACAUAAAAGUAAUUACUCCAAAUGAAAGGCCAUGAAACUGAUUAAAUAACUAAGAUAAUGCUUGGCAAUACUGUUUACCAUGUCAAGCAAGAGCCGAAUAGGAAAAGGUCAUCCCACGGCACUUCAUGGUCAAGGUAAAGAAAAACUGAANNNNNNNNNNNNNNNNNNNNNNNNNNNNNNNNNNNNNNNNNNNNNNNNNNNNNNNNNNNNNNNNNNNNNNNNNNNNNNNNNNNNNNNNNNNNNNNNNNNNNNNNNNNNNNNNNNNNNNNNNNNNNNNNNNNNNNNNNNNNNNNNNNNNNNNNNNNNNNNNNNNNNNNNNNNNNNNNNNNNNNNNNNNNNNNNNNNNNNNNNNNNNNNNNNNNNNNNNNNNNNNNNNNNNNNNNNNNNNNNNNNNNNNNNNNNNNNNNNNNNNNNNNNNNNNNNNNNNNNNNNNNNNNNNNNNNNNNNNNNNNNNNNNNNNNNNNNNNNNNNNNNNNNNNGACCAAAACCAAAAAAGAGAAGGGAUGAAAGAUAAGAGUGGCUUCAGGCGUCUAUCAAGCCAACCAAAUCCCUCCUCUCUCUCUCUCUCCCCCCACCCAAACCAAAACUAUCGUCCCCAACUUCCCAAAUUGCCCCUCUGCAGGCCAGGAAACUCUCCACCCCCCUUCCAUCAAGGGGGAAGACUCGUAGCCAGCUCCAGAUCUUAGUUUUAUAUGGGGCCUUUGCUUCCUUUUGGUCAGCAGCCUCCCGGGGGCCUUCCACGGUCGCCUAAGGCCUCGGGCCGGCCCUGAGGUGGGGUAAGGUUCAGGUUAGGGUAAAUUUCAGGAAGUCUCUCUCUUUCUAUAUGUAAAGAUAGAGAAAUCUAUCACCAAUUCAUUGAGAGAAUAAAGAGGGAGGUAGAGAGUUUUCUUCACCAACAGAUUUGGAUCUUGCUAGGUUGGGGUUUGGACUAGAUCUUAGGGAGACACAAAUCCCAAUCCAUUUGCAGCCUAGUACUACAAUUAGUAUCCUAAAUAUCAAAAAUGUCUUUCCUUUUUAGAAAAGGGCUUAAAUCCCAAUCCAUUUGCAGCCUAGUACUACAAUUAGUAUCCUAAAUAUCAAAAAUGUCUUUCCUUUUUAGAAAAGGGGUUUGGUUGCCCGGCAGCACCAAACGGUACACCCCUGUACCGUUCCGUGCCGGCCCCGUACCAACACAAUAGAGGAAGCAAGGGAGAGGGCGAACGGGAAAGAAGACAAGAGAGAAAAGGGGGAGAGAGAAGAAGGCUGGCGACCCGCGUGGAGGAGGCGAAGGAGGGCUCCAUGGUCGGGUCCCUGUUUCGUUCGAAACAAGGGUUGAACCCCAUUUUUAUUUUUGUGAGAUACCGACUUUACUUAAAAGUCGCAAAAAUAAAAAAGGUCCCCUGUUUCGUUGAGCCUCCUUCGUGCGGCUCGUCGGCGUCCACCUCCAUCUCUCUUCCUUCCUCUCACUCUCCUUCCCUCCCUCGCUCGCUCUCUUUUCCUCUCUUUUCUUCUCCCCCUGCAGCAACAGAUUUCGUUUCUGUUGCAAGAACCAUCCCGAUCCAUUGCCGGGGCAACUCGGUACGACCCGAACCACCCGGUUCGGAACAAUUCCACCGACCCUGAUGAUAAGAUUCCUAAUCUAAUUUGAAUUUGAAUGGAAACAAAGAGGUCUUAUUACAGGCAUUGGACACUUUAUGAUGUAAGUGCCAAGUGAUGGUAUGCGAUGAUCUCACCAUAGCUGAAUUUAAUAACAUGCAUAAAGUGUUGAUAGAGUGUCUGAGUGACCUUAGUGUGUAUAUAUCAACAAAAAAAAAACUAAGUUUCCACAUAAUAUGCAUUACUCACACUAUUGAACCAAAAAUCUAAUCUUGUUGAACGAUACUUAUUAGAGCUUUUUAUGAUGAAGCACCCUCGUGUCUAAGUGGUACGAGAUAAUAAUACCAAAAAAAAUAUUGUCCCCACGUAAUACUGUUAGUUCUCACACCAUCAUUUCUCUUUGUGAAAACCACGAGAUCUACAAAGGCUAUUGGAAACUUAAAAGGCACGUGGCAAUGUAAUGGUGAUGCAAGUUGAUUCUCAAGGGAUACAUUCUUUUUAUAAAUUUUCAAGAUUCUUUCCAAAUAAAAGCAUUUUAGUGGUCCUUAAUAAAGAUUUAGUGGUUCUUGCCAAGAAGGUAGCUUACAAAGGAAGCAAGUUCUGGCUCCUAGGGGGUUAUUAAGUGGUGACAUAGUGGACUGAAAAGAAAGUCUAUUUUUUUCCCUCCUCUUCUGAUGGGUACUUGUUAUAGGUAGAAUCCGAUAUUCUUCAGAAAGGAGACAUUUUAAGAAUAUGAAAAAUAAUAGCUUUCUUUCUUUUCUCAUUUCAGAAAAAUGAUUUUAAAUCUAUUCUGUGAAGCUGUGUUUUGUGCAUGCAUUGAUAAGAAGUUCUCCUCGAGGUAGAUAUCCAAGCUAAAAGCUGUAUUAUCCCACUAUGAUGUAAUUUUACUCAUUUAAUCCUCUUUAACCUUCUUUCCAUAAGCGUCAUUUACUUGAGAGCGCUAAGCACAAACCCCACCAAUAAAGUAUAAAAGGAACUAAAAAAUAAAUGAGUACUACACCACCUCUAUCAAACUCUUCAAGAAAAAAUAUUCUUUGAAGUCCCAGAUUGUGUUUCACAACUGAUAUCUUAAAAAAUAAAGUUACACAGUGCCAGUUAACUUAAGUUUGAAAAGUCUAUUUAUCAGUGUAUGGAAAUCCUUUUUUGUUUUGAAGGGUAUCGGUGUAUGUAAAUCAAACAAGGAAAAAGAAAAAAGAAAAAAGAUGCAAAUUCUGCUUCACAUGUAAAAAUGCAAGGCCUGUCCUUAUGUUCCUCAUAGCAAGUGGUGUAAAGUACUCAGAAACCAUUUGAGAUAAUCAUCUACGCAUCACUAAAAGAAAGUUUUACAUUGAUGAGAAGAUGACUUUUACAUUUUUACAAGCACAGGAAAUUAAGGAAAACUACAAUUUUAUGAUAAUAUUAUUGCUCCCUAUAUAAUUUACUUACGAAAGUCCUUGGAUUUGUCAAUCAUUUGCUGACCAAUGAAUGCUUCACCAUGCAAAAUUAGUGAACCAGAAUAUUCAUUUCUUUUCUUUGUAUGGUUUGUUUUAUAUCAAUUCUACAUGAAGAUUCUUUAGGGUGUCAAAUCUUCCAUAGUCCUACAUGGCAUAAUAAAGACAAUCCACUAGCUGACACAUUUCUAGAAUGUCUCUUUGAAUUGGGUCUAAAAGAUGGAAAAGAUGUUUCACCUACUUCUUCCAAAAGUUUCAGCCUUGCCAGCUUAUUGCCCAAGGAUUUAGAGUCACAAGUUAUAGUCUCAUUUUAUUUUUUUCAAGUCAUGGGUUUUCUUUCCCUUUUAUCUUAACUAACACCUGAGCACAUGCAAUGCAUGCUUUAGAAAAAUAUAAUAGAAAUAUUUAAGUUAUAAUAUAUGAAUUAUUAAUAAAUAAAACUAAAUAACAAUAAGAUUUUUCUUUAUAUAUUUGCACUUUCUGUACUUUUCUAUAUUUAUCUACUCUCACAAAUAAAGUAAAUAAAUAAUUCCUUAUACAUCAAAGCCAGUAUUUCUAAUUUUUUCUAAUAUGUACUCUCAUAAAUUUAAUUUUGGUAUUUUCUCUAUUUGUUUCCAACAUGAUUUUAAAUAAUUUAUUUUACUUAUUUAUUCUCACAAAAUGGCGGUAAGAAAUUAACAAAGAGAGGACUUUUUUAGUAUGGUCUCAUUAAAAAGGAAAUAUUUCAGUACAUUUUCCCUAUUUGUCUAUAGUUGGUAUUUUUUAUUCUCUCUUAGUUGCUUUUUAUCACUUUUUUUUUGUUAUGACCCUUUUGUUAAUUGUUUAUUGCUAUAAUUGCAACUAGGUAAAAUUUCUAAAUUCAUGUCAAAUCGGGAUUUUAAUUUUGUUUCCUUAUUUGUUUAUAACCAGGAUUUUAUAUAGGCAUCUAGAAAAGGGGAAGAAUAUUUUUGGGAUCAAACAAUGAUAGAUGGAUUUGGAAGGAACUAGCAGGGAUGAUGAUAAUACAACAUGUAGGCCUUGAUCUAAUAAGAUGGAAAGUUAGAUGUGUUUAUACUUUAUAAGUAUAAUCCUUUAAGCCAAAGAGUUUAAAAUAUGUCAUGUUUUCUACAGAUAAAGUGAAAAUGUAAAAAAUGCUCUAGUGCAUUACAUUCACAACAAACUAUGGCUUCAAAUAUGAAGAUUGAAAAAAUAGAAACGACAACCAGAAUGAGAACCUGGAAACGGUGCUUUGCCCGUAGGAAAAGAACGUUGUGGUCGUUCAGGUUCUUUAUAGUCAAGUGGAGGUGCAAAAUCAACUUCACAGUCUGUUUCAAUGAUACUGAUUGCAGAAGAGGGCUUUGUUUCGACAAUAUCUAUGUAAUAUUUCUUAUUAUUAUACGCUACCAUGAUGCUGUCACCUGUGGUUAAGCAGGAGAAAUUCCUUAGUGUUGUUUCCAAGCUGCCAAUGUGAUGCAAAGGAUAUGUUAGUAUCUUUACAAAUAAUGAGUAAUAUUAGCAAACAACAUUUUUUAAUGCAAUAAAUUCAUUAAAAAUGACAUGGGGAUGAAAGCAAGAGGUGUGGGAACAAAUAUUAAAACAAUAUCAAAAAAUUACUAACAUGGCUUUGGGAUUUGAGAUAUCUAAAAAGUCUUUUGUGUGAGGCUGCAGCUUGACAUAUGUUCCCUUAGGGAGGGUAGCAUUUUUGACGCUCACAGUAUCUCCCUCUUGCAAAAGUAAAUUUUGCAUCAUCUGGAAAAAAAGAGAUAAAACAAAGUAUAAGGCCUUAUUUGCUCAUAAACUACAAUCAGGAAAGUUAAAAAAAAAAUAGAAGCAAAUUAGUAAAAAAAAUACUCUCGACAAGACCUACCCAAUAUGGCAUGUAGAUCAUGCCUUCUUCUGCAAUGAAUUCCAGCACACCACAAUGUGAAACUCGCUCGGUGGCAGCAUUCCGCAGUUCAAAUAACAUCGGAUAAUCAAUGUGUAAAGAUGCUGCAUAGUAAAACAGAAGUAGGAUAUGGUCACAGACUCACAGGUAUAGCACAUGAAUUGUCCACACAAAAAAAAGGAAACCAGGACAUCUUAUUGAACAUAAUCACAAGUACUUAUUAUGGAAGAAUAUCAGGAAUAAUAUAAGCAAAGAAAGAUUAAUCAUACACAUAGGCUUGACUCACCAAGACGAUCAAGGGCAGAGGGAGGCAUUAUAACUGUAAAAACACAAACCAUGCUGAGUCAUCAAGGUUAAGGGAGUUAAAAAAAGGAAUUCCAAUGAUGAUACCAAUAAAUAACACUCAUAGAAGGCAUACUUUUAUCACCACUUUCCAGCUGCGGCUGCACAGACAAAGAAACUACAAUUAUGACAGAUUCCAGCUACAAAAUAUUAGCUAACAUGAAAUAAUUGUCAUGUUCCGUUAAAACCAAUUGUAAACAAAUUAGGUAAAAUUUCUACAUUUAGCCAUGAUGCUUCAAAAGCUGACUCCAUAAAGUGAAAUUUGAAUAUACAAGAAACCACAACCUAAUGACUUCAAAAAGAGCAGUGCCAUUAGUCUGUAGAUUGAGAGGAGCACCGACUUGUGAAAAUUAUAGUGCACAUGACAGUUUUAUAAUUUUGGAUACUUGAAUUUAACAUUUGCAAAUAAUUGUUGCAUUUAUUAAACAUGGGGAAAGAAAAUCCCUUAUAUAAAAUGCAAAGUCUCAAGGUGGGGACUGAACCGGCAACCUAUGACUCUCUCCUUGUAGCUCCAUGUGAGACUAAUUACAUACCCGUUUUUAUAGUACAUAGUUGUCUUCCUCCUUGAUCUUCUUUAAACAUGUCUAAAAUGAGAGAAAAAAUGAGGCUAUUUGGUUGUUUUUGAGUUUUUUUUAUAAAAAAAAAGAAUAGAUAAUCAUGAUAACUGACAUUUUGUAAAAGAAGUAUUAGAAAAAUAGGGAGAGAUUGCUCUAUGGAUAAAACUCAUUUUCCAAUUUUUGUGACCUAUUUGUUGUUACAGAACAGGUCUUAUUAAAAGCUACCAAACAAAUAUUUCCAAAAAAAACUCAUUCAUGUAGCUGAUUCCGACCAGUUUGGGAUUGAGAUAUAGUUGAGACAAGUUGCAUCUCUUCAAUGUUGUAGAUCAUUAACAAUGUGGAUCGCCAUUUUGGAAAGCCUAUGGUUGAUUUUGCACUGAGUACAUUGAAGCCUCAAUGCACUUGAGAAUAACCAAACUUGUCUACUUCAUAACUGUAUAUGAAUAUGAGGUUGGUAAGUCAACAGGUCAACCCUCCCACCGAAAUUGACCUAUCAUACCAUUAUUCUUUUAAAAAUCAGUUGCUUUGACUGCUAUAGCAAUUUCAACCUGAAACCUCAUUUGCUAAGCAUCAUAGUGGCAGAUAUCAUGCCUGGGUAUGAGGCGGCCAAUAUAUCGAGUUGUGUUAAGGGUAUAAAGCAAGUGAUCUCUUCCAUAGCAGGCUGAUCAAUUUCCAAAUAGAUAAUUUGGACACCUCUAGUUCUGAUGCUCAAGAAACAGACCACCUAUAAGUAGUAGAUAAUGACUGAUCAAUAAGAUAGUCAAUCAGCAAUUUGUCAUUUUUUGUAUAGACUCUAGUGGAGUCCAUUAUUUAUUGAUGAUGAUCUUUUUCCUUAGUGACUAUAUUAUAUGAUUGUGGACAACUUUCUUCUAUGGUUGAUGCUCUGUGAUUGUGGACAUCUUUAUUCUAUGGAUCAAGGUACACAGUACCAGAACCAGCAUCCGUGCCGACAGGCCGGCAUUAAGGAAUGGUACACCCUCAUGUUGUGCCAUUCCAGCAUAAACUAACAGAAAAAUUAGCAAGGGAGGAAGAAAAGGAGAGAGAAAGGAGAAGAGAGAGGGAGGGAGGGAGUGGGAGAGAAAGGGAGGGAGAGCGUGGCGGAGAGAGGCGAAGGGAGGGGGUAGGGAGAAGGAAAGAGAAGAAGAAGAGAGAGAGGGAGGGCAGGGGAGAGGGGCAAGGGCAACAGUGAGCAGCAACCACUGAAAUAGGAUCAAAGGAGGGGGGAGAGAGGGCUUUCUCUCCUUCAUACGUCAGAACAGGAGCGAAGCCCUUGUUUUGAAAGAAAAUAGGGGCUUCGGCCCCUUUUCUAUUUUUUUGAUUUCUUUAAGUGAAGUCGGCAGCAGCUGCCGACUUCACUUAAAAACUUUCAAAAAAAAUAGUGAAGUCGAUAGUGGUUGCUCACUUCACUUUAAAAAAUUAAUAAAAUAAAAAAAGGGACCAAAGCUCCUGUUUUCUUUUGAAACAAGGGCUCCACCCCUGUUCCAACGCACAAUGGAGAAAAGGCUUCGAAAGCCCCCUCUCCCCCUCCCUCGGCCAUGUUCCAACAGUCGCCAUUCACCACCGCCCUCUCCCUCUCUUUUCAUAGUUUCUCAACUUACAUAAAACACUAGUACUCCACGAUACAUUAGAGCUGAGAAGAAGUGACUAUGGGCAUUAUGGUAGAUAACAAUCUAAAUUAACAAAUUUAAGAAAGUCCAAAGGUGUAUUAUUUCCUUGUCAGUUACAGAGUAACAUACCAGAAAAUAGUUAAAAUAUUUUAAUGCAGAUAAGUUAUAUUAAACACGAGGAAAACAACAACAAUCUGUUGUUCAACCUUUCAAUGAGUAUUUCUUCCCACUAAAUGCCUGGAACUUGGGCUCUUCUUUCUUUCCUGGCUCUUCCGUCUUUUCUUUCAAGCCCUGUGCUUCUUUUGAGGCACGAUUUGCAUUUGAACCAAAGACAAGCUUUCCCAUAGUCCGACGGGAUGAACUGCUCUCAAAAGUGGAUGCUUUUAAGUUCUUCCCACCAUCGGUCAUUUCAGAUUGUCUUCCCUUUGCUGGGGGAGAAACAGUUGGAGCUUGAUGCUUUGAAGGUUUGCCAUCCAGUCGUCUCCCGAAGCCAGUAAAUGGGGUGAAUUUUGGUUCAACUUCAGCUUCAGCUUGAGCAUCCUGAAC
rnacentral:lncRNA from 1 species